rnacentral:misc_RNA from 1 species
AACGCACCUUGCGCUCCUUGGUAUUCCGAGGAGCAUGCCUGUUUGAGUGUCAUAUAAUUCUCAACCUUUAUUAGCUUUUGCUGAUUAAUGGCUUGGAUGUGGGGGUUCUCUUUUGCCGGCUUCUUCAGAGGUCAGCUCCCCUUAAAUGCAUUAGCUGGUGCCCCGCGUGGACUGUCUAUUUGGUGUGAUAAUUAUCUACGCCGUGGAUAUCUGCAAUGGGUUGUGCACUGCUUAUAACCGUCUGUUCAUUUGGACAAUACAUGACAAUUUGACCUCAAAUCAGGUAGGACUACCCGCUGAACUUAA